AAGUCGUAACAAGGUAACCGUAGGUGAACCUGCGGUUGGAUCAUUAACAAAUUUAUAAGUUAUUCCUUUCGGGGGAUUUACUUUUAAACACUUUUUGUGAACUGUUUUAUUGUCUCUUGGUGUGGUAACGGAUGAAAUAAUCUUAAAACAGAGUCUUAAAAACACUUUGUGAGCCCACCAAUUUUUUAAACAUUUAAUAUAUAUUUUUUGUCUCUAAUUUUAAAUCUUAAAAAAAAAAAAAAUUUAAAAACAACUUUUAACAACGGAUCUCUAGGCUCUCA
rnacentral:misc_RNA from 1 species